UACGGAGGAUCCGAGCGUUAUCCGGAUUUAUUGGGUUUAAAGGGUGCGUAGGUGGAUUGGUAAGUCAGUGGUGAAAGUUUGCAGCUUAACUGUAAAAUUGCCGUUGAAACUGCCGGUCUUGAGUGCAAAUGAGGUAGGCGGAAUGCGUCGUGUAGCGGUGAAAUGCUUAGAUAUUGGGAAGAACACCGGUGGCGAAGGCGGCUUUCUGGACUGUAACUGACACUGAGGCACGAAAGCGUGGGGAGCAAACAGGAUUAGAUACCCCGGUAGUCCCUGAG
rnacentral:rRNA from 1 species